UACGUAGGGGGCAAGCGUUGUCCGGAAUCAUUGGGCGUAAAGAGCGUGUAGGCGGUCCUGUAAGUCCGCUGUGAAAGUCAAGGGCUCAACCCUUGAAUGCCGGUGGAUACUGCAGGACUAGAGUCCGGAAGAGGCGAGUGGAAUUCCUGGUGUAGCGGUGAAAUGCGCAGAUAUCAGGAGGAACACCGAUGGCGAAGGCAGCUCGCUGGGACGGUACUGACACUGAGGCGCGAAAGCGUGGGGAGCGAACAGG
rnacentral:rRNA from 1 species